GACGAACGCUGGCGGCGUGCCUAACACAUGCAAGUUGAGCGAAUGAAGUUCCUUCGGGAAUGGAUUUAGCGGCGGACGGGUGAGUAACACGUGGGCAACCUGCCUCAUAGAGGGGAAUAGCCUUCCGAAAGGGAGAUUAAUACCGCAUAAGAUUGUAGUACCGCAUGGUACAGCAAUUAAAGGAGCAAUCCGCUAUGAGAUGGGCCCGCGGCGCAUUAGCUCGUUGGUGAGGUAAUGGCUCACCAAGGCGACGAUGCGUAGCCGACCUGAGAGGGUGAUCGGCCACAUUGGGACUGAGACACGGCCCAGACUCCUACGGGAGGCAGCAGUGGGGAAUAUUGCACAAUGGGGGAAACCCUGAUGCAGCAACGCCGCGUGAGUGAUGACGGCCUUCGGGUUGUAAAGCUCUGUCUUCAGGGACGAUAAUGACGGUACCUGAGGAGGAAGCCACGGCUAACUACGUGCCAGCCGCCGCCGUAAUAC
rnacentral:rRNA from 1 species